UCAACGUGAAUAAGAUCACUGUCACUGCGCUUUCGCCAUUAACGCUGCCGCCGCUUGCUGCCCAUCACUGUCGCCGCUCGCUACGCAUCACCGCUUCCGCUCGCUACCCCUUUUUUUAAUCUUCACGAUUGCAAAGAGGUGACCACGAUCUCCUUCAUUUUCUCGCUUUCCCCUAAAUAAUUAAUUCACACUUUUUUUUCAAGCUGAAGAUUUUUUAUUCCAAAUUAUAUAAACCGCUCAUUGCAAGAUGUUUUCCAGCGUCCGAUUUGUUUUUGUGAGUGUCGUUCCAAUGAAGAAAAGCUAGGUCCGGCAAAGAUAAUCAACGACAGUGGCAAGAUGGGUAUAAUUGAAGGUGAGAGAGAGAGCGGUGCUUCUCAUUUAAAAAAGAUUUUUUUUCCGAGUGCGGUAGAAGAUUGGGGAUUGAAAGAUUGCGGUGAUGAAAUUUAUAAAUCAUUUUGGACCAUUGCUUUCGGUUUGUGGAUGUUAUCUUCAUCGGAAAAGGUCUACUGGGGAUAGAGUUUAUAAUAUAGACACAGAUUUUGUUCUAGAGAAUUGUGUUAGUCUUGUUUCUAGACAAGUUCUAAUGCCUUUUAAAUGGAAAAGAACUCCAGAAAACCUUUUAACAUCUAGAGAUAAGCAGGAAAAUUAUUUGUUUCUUUCAUUUAUUUAUUCAGUUGGUAAUUAGCACGCCUCAGAUACGUAAAAUUGUGAAUGAGAUACCUCCUCGGAGACGGACACUUAUGUACACUGCAACCUGGCCAAAAGAAGCGCAAAAAAUAGCAGGUGAUCUUCUUGUGAAUUCAGUCCAGGUGAAUAUUAGCAACGUUGAUGAACUUUCUGCUAACAAGUCUAUCACUCAGAGAAUGGAUGGGGAAUUAAAGAAGGCUUAGAGAGCAUUUGAGGACACGGAAGCAGCUAGGAUCUCUCCUGAUUAAUGAGCAAGUCAAGCUAAAAAAAGGGGAAAAGAGAAAUUAUAAGGAUGGUUAAAACCGUAGCUCAUUUUCGUGUUUAUUUACAUCUAUUGAUGGCUUGGAAACAUCUAUUGAUGGCGUGGAAACAUCUAAUGAUUGAUGGGAAUUGUUGGAAUGAAAGAAGAUGAACGUCUCCUAUAUCAAAAGUUAGGCUUAAUCUAUUCAUGGCGGCGAAACAUCUAUUGAUGGCAGCGAAAAAUAUCUUAACGACGAACAAUCUAACGAUUGCUAUGUGACGGCUUACUUAAAUAUAUCUUUUAAUUCUUUAUGCUUUUAAUUUUUCUUUAUAAUUUUAAAAUUAUUUCCUUAAUUACGUCAGUUUGAAAAUAAAAAAGUAUAUUAUAAACGUAAUUUUUUUCUUGUAGAUGGGAAUUGUUGGAAUGAAAGAAGAUGGACAUCUCUUAUAUCAAAAGUUAGGCUUAAUUCAGUUUCUUUUCUUUAUAGCAAUUAUUUUACAUGUUUGCAUACGAUCAGUUAUUUCAGUAUUAUUGAAGAUUUAUUCAUUUAUUUAUUUAUGUAA